GACGAACGCUGGCGGCGUGCUUAACACAUGCAAGUCGAACGGAAAGGCCCUGCUUUUGUGGGGUGCUCGAGUGGCGAACGGGAGAGUAACACGUGAGUAACCUGCCCUUGACUUUGGGAUAACUUCAGGAAACUGGGGCUAAUACCGGAUAGGAGCUCCUGCUGCAUGGUGGGGGUUGGAAAGUUUCGGCGGUUGGGGAUGGACUCGCGGCUUAUCAGCUUGUUGGUGGGGUAGUGGCUUACCAAGGCUUUGACGGGUAGCCGGCCUGAGAGGGUGACCGGCCACAUUGGGAUUGAGAUACGGCCCAGACUCCUACGGGAGGCAGCAGUGGGGAAUAUUGCACAAUGGGCGGAAGCCUGAUGCAGCAACGCCGCGUGCGGGAUGACGGCCUUCGGGUUGUAAACCGCUUUCGCCUGUGACGAAGCGUGAGUGACGGUAAUGGGUAAAGAAGCACCGGCUAACUACGUG
rnacentral:rRNA from 1 species